GCCUGCUGGUGGCUCUGGGCAUUGUACCUAAUGAGCUGACAGCAGGUUAGCUGCAGCAAGGUUGUCCCCGUGGGGCUGCGAAUCCUGCCUUAACCAAGCUGACUGGUACUUCUGCUUCUCUGCAUCUGCAAUGAGCCCUGGACUGCUGCAGAGGAUACAGCAGAACUGAGAGGAAAACAGCAGCAGCAGUGCCUGGAGUGCUGCAGGAUGUCGCCAGGAGCUGCCUAGGCUGGGCUGAUGUCCUCUGUCUGCUGCAUGGCCAUAUCCUGCAGAGAGGAAGGGAGGCGGGCAGAGCCCCUUUCAGCGCCUCCUAGCUCAAGUUGGAGUGAAUGAUGGGAGACCCAAGUGCUGUACGGCAUUAGGCUUGGUGAUCUCCCAUGGAGAAAGGUUAAGACUUCUCUCCUGCAAGCAGAAACAUGUCUACUGUGGUUCUCUAGAAAGCAGAGUUUGUAUAGACUUGGUGGGGACCGUGCUGACUUUGCCAUCAAGUCUGUAGGAAGACGAUUACAAUACUUCCCAGAAAGCAUCCUAUGCCAGCGACUGGUGUUGGUACACUGCCCUGUGAACGUUCUCAAAAAGCCAAGAGCUUAUCAGUGACAGUGGGGCAGGACCCCGGUUCAGGUUACUGCCACCCUCCAGGAGCAGGCCGGGCAGAUUCACCUCCAGUAUCGAUGUACCUUACUUGCAGUUUCCUUGGAAAAUCUACUUCUGACCAAAAGACCCAGAAACUAUUUUGAACAAAACAGCAUUUCCCUUUUACUUUUGCCUCAUAAGUAUGAAACAAUUGCAUUUGUAGACUGUUUCGACACGAGAAGCAAAAUUUCUGCUGAAAAUGGCUCUGUGAUUUCACACCUGUGAUUCAGAGCAAAACCUGGGAAGGACACAGAAGAAACCACACCCCAGGUGUGUGUAUCCGCAUUCCCACUGCAGAUGUGGCUAACGUGAUGGCUUCAUAAACAUAGAAUCAUAGAAUUGUAGGAUCAUUAAUGUUGGAAAGACCUCUAAGAUCACCUAAUCCAACCAUCAGCCUACCACCAGCAUGCCCGCUGACCACAUCUCCAUGGUUCUUGAACAUCUCCAGGGAUGGAGACUCCACCACCUCUCUGGCUGGUAUUCAAUGCUCUCUGCAAGCACUUGACAGUCCUUUGCACUGCUGCCUGUAUCUGCACACUGGAGGCCAACCUGCUGCUUGAAAGAAAAUCACUCUCAGAAUCACAGUGCCAGGGGAGCCUUCUCCUUAGGAACACCCUAUUCAGGAUCCUUCUGCUCCCAGUCUGUGAUAUCCAAUGCACAGGAAUACACACAGAGGAUCUGCCUCUCUUGGGCUCACUGCUCUCCAAUGCAAGCCUGCAGUUGCAGUCUGCAGUUUGGGCUCUGUUGGUAGCACUGCACUGGCUGCUGACCCUUCCAGGAAGUGCUUUCCUCCUGUACCUCCUCCCACCACCUUGCUUGCGAUCCCAAGUGCUGACCUACAGGAUACCGUGAUGAUCCAGCAUCACCUCCACUGGGCCCCCAGCUGCCGGCUAAUGGAGAGGCCCUGCUGCGCCACGUGUUCCUGUAAGCCUUGGGUCAUCCCAUUUCACGGCUUCUCAGAAGGCAUCUGUCAGUGCGUCCGUUUCAUGAAGUACACAGAACGGAGAUUAAGUUGCAUUUCAACCACCCUUUCCUUUCUUACCAAGCACUUUGCGUAGGAGUGGCAGCCCCUUUGUUAACUGAUGGGAAGAUAUGAGUUUGUGCUUCUGGUACAUCCCUAAUGGGGGAACAGUCCUUCCAGAACUCCCAGCAUCUCCUCUCCACUAAGGUGCUCAGCAAUCCUUCAGCUAGAAGAGGUGGAAAGAGAAAAGGUGGGCAGGUUUGCUAGCAUAGAGCUGCAAGAGAAGGAAGAAACUGAGAAAUGAAGAGCUGCAAUAACACGGGGACAUUUUUGCCAGAGGUACUAAUACCAAGAACAGCUGCCUGUCACUGAACUGCUUUUCCCCUUUGCUCACUAGGACACGUUAAAUAUGCAGAAGCUGCGUCACCUCCCUUGACAGACAACUUUGGAGAUGUUUCCUGUAUGUGGGGCUGCCUAAGAGUCUGCAGACAGUUGGAGCCAGCCCGGAGCUCCCAGAAAUCACGAGGGAAGCCAGGCUGUGCAGCCACCUCCCAGGGAUAUCACAAGUCCCUGCUGGGUGCAUGCAUGGUGCCACGAGGACCUCUGUUUGUGCAGGACCAUUGCUCUGAGAGUGCUUCCCCUGCUGCUAUUGCAGCUCUCUGCAAGACCUCAUAUUUCUCAACCGAUUUCCUUCCAGCCCCACAUUUGCGAGUGCUGAGGGCUGUGGCAAUUGAGUGAUCAAGCACUCUCCCUGCCAGCGUUUUCUACCCGGGCCUCGUGCUGACCCUCAGGGUUAUCAGAAAAGCCUUUCGUCAGACGUCAGCCGGAGCAGAAAUUGGCAUGGAGACAGCGCUGCAAUUCUGUAAGGCGUUGCACUUGUACUGGCAAAGGUGGAGAAUGCAGCCCUGGCAUUUAUGGUGCAUCAGCCCACGCAUGGUCACAGUGCCUGACGACGCAAAGAAGAAUUGCGGCUGUAAAAUUGCCCAUAGCAGCUGAGCAUCCACUUUGCCUUGCCUCAUCCUCAGGAUGCGGGGCGCUCUCUCAAGGAGCAGUUUCUCGCUGGUUUAACAGCCUGCAGGACCGCCCAGCUGCACGUUGCAGAGGAUGCUUGGCUGUGAGAUCCCAGCCCCAUGCCCAAGGGCGUGGCUGAAAGGGCUGCAGGAGGACUUCCUGUCCGCACCAGAUCAGGUUACACUGCUGUCCUGUUUCCCCUACCACUUAAGUCUGGGAUGUACGUGUUGGGAGCAGAAAUCCAUAGGAGGUAUUGGAGAACAAAUGUGGACCAGAGCUCAAAGAAAGCCCAGCCUAACUAUUGCCACCUCCUCUCCCAGGUCUCCAUCCAGCCUCAUGCGGCACUGGUACCUGAGUGAGCAGGGAGCCCAAGAGCAACACCUGUGUCUGCUUCCAGUUGUUGCAGGAAUACAAUCUCUCCAAACACUCGUGCGGCUGCUGUAUUAUUUAACAAGCCUCCUGCUUAGGAAAAACAGCAUAAAAAUGGAGAUGCUGAAAACAGAGGAUCCUGCUGUAGGCUGCUCCAUAAUACCUUCCUGUUCAGUGAAGAUGUGGUAAUGGAUGUUUUCACUGCAGCCUCACUCCACUCGUGGUGACGAGUUCCCGUAUCCUGUACUUUGCUUGUGCUACACUGCAAGCUUGUGCUCAUCCACUUCAAUGUGUGUUCUGUGAGGCAGCUGAUUCCACUUCCUUUAAAGCAUCCAGAGAAGGACCCUCCAGCACUAACAGAUAAGGCACAUGUCUCUUUAUGGCUUAUCCCUUAGAUUUUGAAGCUGAGAAAUCUACUUUUUGCCUGGGGAAAAUAUUAGCCAACAUCACUAGGAGGUUAAAGCCUUUGGUCACAGGUUACGCUAUAGUUGGUAUUACAAACAAUUUUUUUUCAUGCUGUCAAAGAGCAAAUUAGAAAAUAUACUGAUGUUCUUAUAUGUUAUCUCUUACUAUCAUUAACAAAUGAGACUUCGGAAAAGGUUUAGCCAUCAGACUGGUUUUUAUUGCCAUGAUGUGAAAGAUUGGGAUGCAGUGGGACCCAGUGCAAAUCAAUACCCAUUUUGUCUUCUUUCUUUAUGCCCUUUCUGCUUCCUCUGUGAAUGACAGAACUUCGAGGCUUUCAGCUCAAAACCCCCUGGUGGGAUGAGUGACUUGUGAAAGUGGGAUCACGCUGGCUACAAGAAUCCAUGCCGCAGAGCUCAGGACCAUGCAGGCAUCUCACUGUCCAGAAGUUCUGGAUGAAUUCAGCUCCUGACCUUCUCACCUUGGUUUGAAGUGGGAAUUGCUGUAUAGCUUGGUCUCUUACUCUUCUGACCCUCUAUGUUUUAUGCAUCUAGUAAUGUUAUUCCUUAAAAUAAUCUACUCACAGAGUAUGGCAUUUCCUAUAAUCAGAUAAUCUUGAUGGUAUAAAAAAAAUAAAAUGCUAAUAACUAAAACAGCAUCCAAAGAAAGGAUGCCUCAUCCAAAAACAUCUUCAUAAAAGGCAUAUCUUUAAAUCGAGACACCAGUCUAUGUUAUCCACAAAGACCAGUAAUCACAGACUGAAUUGUAAGAGCUUUCUCCAUGUGCGUACUACAAAACUUGGGAGUGAUUUGCCAAACAGAAAAGCAUACAUUGAUCAGGGAAAUAAAAGCUUCACCACUGAUCCUCUGAGAGGUGAUGGCUAUUAGCAGAAAGAAACUCAACACUGAUCUGGAAAGUGCAAUGUGAAGAUGCCACACAACGCCAAAUAUGAGGACAGUGCUGUGUGCUCUCUGCUUCUAUCAGUCGUGUAACGAGAAGGGUGUUUCUACCUGAAGUACAGACACCUGGCUUCCUACUCAAGCACCACAAGCAAUCUCCUCUGGUAACACAAACUGCUUACUUCACCCCAGAGUUAGAGCUCACUGUAGAACCAUCUGGUUUGGAGUUGUCUUGUCACUACCCAUCUUGUGAAAGAUAUUUUCAGGAUGCUAACAACUCCAUCCAAAAAGUUCUUCUGUUUUGUCACCCAUGAUCACAUAUAUUUAGAUGCCAUAUGCCCUGUAUUCUCCUUCUCCGGAAGCUCUGGGUUGAUUUGUGCCAAGAACUGAAUGUAAGAAAUUUGCCUUUUGUGUGUUAUUGUUCAUAGACUCUCACUCAGCCCCUGGGACUGAGGCAUAACGUAUAUGCGUACAUACUUGAAAAUAGAUUGUCUUGGUGUCCCACUCACAAACUGUGAGCCAACCCGCCUCCCCCACUCCUUGAUGGGAGUCAUUUUGCCAUUUGGGGCUUAUGAAGCAAGAUCUUUGCUAACCCUCUUGUUCUCUGAAAUGCUAUAUAUUGUCUUCCCCUUCAUCCCAGCCUACAGGCAGAACCAGCAUGUGAGGAUGUACGAUGCAUGAUUCAAUGUCAUGCAAAAAUUCUGCUGAACUCCUCACAUUCUGCAGCAAUAGUAAUCUUUGUCUGGUCUGCGACCGGAGAAAGCAAGCUCCAAAGCGUGCAAAGCGUGUUUGACCUUACUUUCAAACACCCGUGUGCACACUCAAAGCCCCAGAGAACUCAUUACAUUCACAGUCUAGAAACUGGUGUUUUGUUCUCCGUCCCUGCUCCGUCUGCCUUUGGAUGAAUGCAGCUGAAAAUGUCAGAGAUGCAGCUCCUAUGUAACGUAAGAGGAGGAUUACAGCUUUCCUGACAUCGGAAGGGGGGGUUACAACAAUGCAGCUGACGUAGGAAAGGACAGAUUACAGUGCAUCUGACAUAGUAGGAAUUAUAGAAAAUGUAUUUACAGCGAUGGCUGGAAAAUGAAUUUAAUAUGCUGUUCCAGAGGACAAUAAAGGCGUGUUGCAACAGUUCUCCCCCCUCUGGAAAGUCGUGUUUCUCACUUGUCCAUCAGCACAAACAAUCUGUGCUGUAUGGCAGGAAAUAUCGGACGCAAAUAUCGCAUUAAUCUCUACGGAAGGAUACCUGUUAUCGUAACUUGCUCAUUCACUAAGGUCUCUCAGUAGUGGCUCAGACAAUAGGUGGAUAUAUCAGGUUUUCCCCCUGGGAGAAGUGUACCACAGG
ensembl:lncRNA